CCGAAUCGUCGGCACGAGCUGUUGCUGGCCCCCAAGCGGGGGCACGUGCACGCUCUGUCUGCAUCCACUCACACCUGUGCACCUUCUGUAGUUCUGUGGUCUGGGGGGUACCCACCUCCCGUCUGCGGUUCUGCGUCUUUACACACACACUGUGACACGGUCUUAUGGAAUGUACGGAGCGUUUAACGCGAUACAAUA
rnacentral:misc_RNA from 1 species